rnacentral:rRNA from 1 species
CCCACAGCAAUGUGGGAACAUGUUUUCUGGUUGAAUCAUGAUAAUUGAUCGGAUCGCAUGGUCUCGUACCGGCGAUAAUUCAUUCGAAUUUCUGCCCUAUCAACUUUGAUGGUAGGAUAGAGGCCUACCAUGGUGGUGACGGGUAACGGAGAAUUAGGGUUUGAUUCCGGAGAAGGAGCCUGAGAAACGGCUACUACUUCCAAGGAAGGCAGCAGGCGCGCAAAUUACCCACUCCUGAUUCAGGGAGGUAGUGACAAUAAAUAACGAUAUAGGUCCCGAUAGGGUCUUAUAAUUGGAAUGAGUACAAUUUAAACCUCUUAACGAGUAACCAUUAGAGGACAAGUCUGGUGCCAGCACCCGCGGUAAUUCCAGCUCUAAUAGCGUAUAUUAAAGUUGUUGCGGUUAAAAAGCUCGUAGUUGAAUUUAAGAGUGGAAAAUCUCCGUCAAAAGAGACCAAGUAAGUACCGUUUCUGGGGUCUUGUGGGUUCAUAAGGGGAAGGGUUGUGUUAGGUGGAAAAGGGGGUUCGCUCUACUUGCCAUCUAGCAUUGCCUGGAACCUUAUGUUCUUGCUCCUCAGAGUGGCUUACCCACUCUUCGAUACCUGUCAUUGUUAGAUUCUAUGUUAUAUCACAUAGGAAUUUCAUCUUUUGUUCCUUCGGGUUCAAAUGGUGAUUUUCUUUUAACAUUAGGUCGUGGUCUGGGUUCGCCCUUUCCAGCUCUGACAGGAUUUUACUUUGAGUAAAUUAGAGUGUUCAAAGCAGACAAAUUUGUCAGUCAUUGAAUAUUGUAGCAUGGGAUAAUAGAACAGGACCUUUUUCUUCUGUUUUAUGGUUUCUGAGAAUGAGGUAAUGAUUAAUAGGGAUAAUUGGGGGCAUUAGUAUUUAAUUGUCAGAGGUGAAAUUCUUGGAUUUAUUAAAGACUAACCACUGCGAAAGCAUUUGCCAAGGAUGUUCUCAUUAAUCAAGAACGAAAGUUAGGGGAUCGAAGACGAUCAGAUACCGUCGUAGUCUUAACCAUAAAUGUGCCGACCAAGAAUUGGUGGAUGUUUAUUAUAAAUCAACGACUCUCUCAGGACUUUACGAGAAAUCACAAGUAUUUGGGUUCCGGGGGGAGUAUGGUCGCAAGGCUGAAACUUAAAGGAAUUGACGGAAGGGCACCACCAGGAGUGGAGCCUGCGGCUUAAUUUGACCCAACACGGGGAAACUCACCAGGUCCAGAUAUAGUAAGGAUUGACAGAUUGAGAGCUCUUUCUUGAUUCUAUACGUGGUGGUGCAUGGCCGUUCUUAGUUGGUGGAGUGAUUUGUCUGGUUUAUUCCGAUAACGAACGAGACCUCAGCUUAUUAACUAGUCGCAUGAA